ACGUAUGCGACCAGAGGAAAGCUCCAUGGGAGCUCAAACCCUAACUUCAACAAAUCAACAAAAUUGAAGGAUCAAACCAAGUUCAAAUCGAAAAUGGAGCAUAGAUUACUGAUCCUCAUCACAAGAGGAUCACAAGUUGGCGCUUAACAAGCUAGGUGGAGCUUGGGGAGAAAGCGGGUCAACCGAAUCAAGAAGGAAAAGAAAAGUGUAGCUUGGAUACGAGGUAAGUGUAACUUACACCUUUCGUAGAAUAAUUAGUUAUUCUAUAAGCUUUCUUUUAAUUCGAUAAAAACAAUAUUGGGAAAUAUGGAUUCCCGACGCAAUUGAUACGAGUCGGGGCAUAUGCAAUAUUUGGUAAAAACCAUGAUGAAGGGUAAACAUUGGAAAAUGGUAAUAUCGCCGUAAAUGAUAAGCAUACAAUGAAUCUGGAAAUGUUACCGUAUGGGGUAACUCAUGAUAAGGAAAGGGAUAAAAUGGUAAUUUAGUCAUGUGCCGACAAAUAUAAGUAAAAGUAAUAAGAUACCCUACGGCGUAAGUCGAAAUGGGUUAAAUAACGAAAUGGUAUAUAUAUGUAAAUAUAUACCAUUCUAAAUUCAAAUGCAAAAUGUUUGGUCGUUUAGACCAAACGGGUCAAAGGGUGACUUGUAGUGCCAUUUGACCAAUGACGACUAAUAAGUAUGUGUCAAGUCUUAUGCUUACAGGAUAAUAAUGGUUUAUGGAUUUAAAAUGCUAUGAAUUAGCAUAUUAUAGAGGCAAGGUAUCGAAACGGGUCAAUAAAUUGACCCGAGCCAGGUACGCGUAAUUAUAGUUGUGGAUAAUAUACUUUAUGGCUUUAUAUGUGGCGAAAGCCCUUCGUAGUAAAUGAGGGGCUAAUGUUGACUAAAAUGCCCUCGAAGGAUAAAUGAGGCAAACAACCCAUAAAGGUUGUUUAGGAACUUAUAUUAAGAUCUUGUAAUCCUUAGACGCGUAUGAAAAUAGUAGGUAUAAACUAUCAAGGGUUAAAUGCCUUAAAAUACGUGUUGUUGCAAAAUAGCAUAUUUGAGGGGCAAGACUCGGGAUAGAUAGUCUAUUACAUUAUACUCACCACAUUCAUAGUUGUGGUGGGAAAACUAAUCAAAGUAAAAAGGCGGGAUUAUGAGGCAUAGAAGAAAUGAGCGAAAUUAGGCUUAAAAGGACAUAAAUGUCCUUUACGGGUCAAAAUAAGCACUUGAGCAUAAACGGGUUUAGAAUGUGUAAUAACCCAUGAUUUGAGCCUUGUACAAUAGGAAACAAUCACAAUGUUAUGUUUACAAAAGAAAUAGGGACCGCAGACAGGUUGUUAGACGAAAUCACAAACGGGUCAAAAGUUGGUAAAAAGGGUAAUAAGCCGAAGAGUUAAAAGUCUUAAUUUUUGAUAAUCCAGAUGCUGGAUUUUAACUCCAAACGAUGGAGGAUCAAGUUAUAAGUACGUAGGAAGAAACAGCCGAAGAGUUUAAAGUCUUAAUUUUUGAUAAUCCGGAUGCUGGAUUUUAACUCCAAAUGAUGGAGGAUCAAGUUACAAGUACGUAGGAAGAAACGGUAGGUCAAACGGACAAACGGAUUAAACGUUAUGAACGUUGCUGUUUUAGAAAACGGCAAACUUGGAGAAUUCUGCAGAGGCCACCGUAAAUUACGGUAGUUACUGUAAUUUACGGUAGGCCAUAUAACUUUACGCCAUGAACCUCCUGAAUUACGGUGGAGGAAUAAACAUUCAGGGGUUACCGUAAAUUACGGUAGCCACCGUAAUUUACGGUGGACCCUGAACAAAAAUGUAUUUUUGAUCAGUUUUGUUUCCGGGACUCGUUUAGAUACAUAUUAAAUCCUGUAUGACUAAAUCAUUUCAUGUUUUUAUGAAAUGUAGGUACUUUUUGGAUGCCGGAAGACGAUCAAGCUCAACGCAGGACCGAACACGAUAUAGUUACAUGCUUCCGCAUUUUGCCACGUUGUAAAUUUUAAACAACAAAUUUCGGUCACGUUAUGUAGAAUAAAUUAUAAUUUGUAAAAGUUUUAAUAAACCCGAAUUUUUGUAAUAUGUGUUGUCUUAGUUACACAACUAAUUGUUGGUAAUUACAUACAAAAUCGUUAAUUAGUAACUAGGGUGUUACAAGUUGGUAUCAGAGCCAGGUUUAAGAGAUUCAAGUAUGGUGGGAAAACUAUGCUUGGACUUAAACCUUAUGCUCUUGAUAAAGAAUAGUGUUCGGUUCGAGGCUUGAUCGCAAAUCCGGUAAGUACGCGUAUGUUAAUAGUUUAGUAUGCUAAAUUGUUGUAAAUAACACAUAGGGCUAUCGUGUAACGCAUGUUACCCCAAUUAAACGAUAGAUGUAGUUGGCGAAAAUGCGCGCGUUGACGCGUAUAGUAGAAAAAGCCUUGUAUUAUAAUACGGGCGAUUAUUAAAGUUGACGUUACUAACUUUUGUGAAUGUUAUAAUUGAAGGACACUCGCGUUUGAAGACGACGAGAAUCAAACAAAUUGUGGAUAUGAUGAUGGAACGGUCCGAAGUAUACAAGAGGAGCAUGCUCACCAAGGACUAAAUCACGCAACGACCGUGAACAAGGUUAUUGGCAAAGAGAGCCUGUUAAAGCAAGCUUUAUCAGGUGCACACUUUUAAAUUUAAAUGCACAAGUAGUAAUAUGCAACAAACACGUAAGUAAUGACGGUUGCAUACAUAUACGAUAGAACUUGGAAAACCUGAUUUCCAAGAAAAAUUUAAUAGAAAAUGUGUUAUUCACGACGAUGAAUAACAAAUGAGUAACAAGAAUUGUUCACAUGGAAACUUGGAUUGGGGUAAUUAUCCAAGUGGAAAACUCUCAAUUCGAUGCUAUUGAGAAAAGUAGCAAUCACGUUAACAAAUGUGAUUAUAUAUAUUAGUUU
rnacentral:lncRNA from 1 species